AUUGAACGCUGGCGGCAGGCCUAACACAUGCAAGUCGAGCGAGCGGCGGACGGGUGAGUAAUGGCUGGGAAACUGCCUGAUGGAGGGGGAUAACUACUGGAAACGGUAGCUAAUACCGCAUACCAUCAGAUUUGCCCAGAUGGGAUUAGCUAGUAGGUGGGGUAACUGCUAACCUAGGCGACGAUCCCUAGCUGGUCUGAGAGGAUGACCAGCCACACUGGAACGGAGACACGGUCCAGACUCCUACGGGAGGCAGCAGUGGGGAAUAUUGGACAAUGGGCGAAAGCCUGAUGCAGCCAUGCCGCGUGUGUGAAGAAGGCUUUCGGGUUGUAAAGCACUUUUAGCGGGGAGGCGUUACCCGAAGAAGAAGCCCCGGCUAACUCCGUGCCAGCAGCCGCGGUAAUAC
rnacentral:rRNA from 1 species